AUUUAAUUAGUUAAAGUAUAAUAUUAAUUUGUGGGAUUAAAGUUAUGAUUAUUAAGUA
rnacentral:tRNA from 1 species